ACAUCAGUACUCUCAUUGCUUUGAUUUUUGUUUAGGUUAUUCAGCAUCGCUUUGAUAAAUCCGUGGAUUUCUACAGGAACUUUUCUGAGUAUGAAAAUGGAUUUGGUGAUCUAACAUCAGAAUUUUGGCUAGGUUUGAAAUAUAUACAAGAGAUAGCAAGUCAAAGUACUACACACUUACGUGUUGAUGUUGAAGCUGACAAUGGAACGGCUGCCUUCGAAACAUUUAACAUGUUUAAACUCUCACCAAGACCGGCCUACACAUUGUAUCUUGGGGAUACCAUAUCUUCCGAUAAAAUUAGCGAGAUAAACUGCGUCGGAAGACGGGCCAAUGGUACAGGAUUUUCAACGUUUGACCAUGAUGUAGAUACAACUUCCGGGAACUGCGCUGCUCAAUAUAAGGUUGGUUGGUGGUAUUACAGCUGUUUUGACGUCGACUUAAAUGGACGAAAUAUAUACCAUCUGGGAUUUAUAAAUGUCCAAUUGAAAUCAAGUAAAAUGAUGAUAAGGAGAAACUAAUUUAUCUAGUUGUAACCUAUUCGAUCACAUUUGGAUUGAAGAUUUCGAAAUUUAAUGUACAGAAUAUGUAGACAAAAAUUUUAUAUAUGACAUCAACACAAGACAAACCUGUAAAAAUAUUUCUCAAAACGUUGUUUACUUCUUUUAUAUGAAUCCUAUGAAUACACAUGUGCAUGUUUAUAUUAUAGAUAGAUUUAAGUAUACGUUUAAGUGUGAACCUGUCGCUUUAACCCAAUUACUGGAAAUUAAUGUAGAAGAUAAGUAUUAGUGUGUCAGUUGUUUCAUUACGAAUAUACACAUUAUUAGUAAUUAUCUGAUUUAAAUUUUACAUUAGUAAGACCGAUAAUCGUUGAAAGCCUUUUUUUGUAAGAACAAUUAAGCGUUGUUGUUGUUGUACAAAAAAGGGUUGAUACAAUUUAUUAUAGGUUGUCAUUAUAUUGCUGUUUACGUGCAUAAAAUGAUAUUUUAUGACGCAAGUUCUCUGUAAAAUUUCAUUUAUUUGUUAUUUUAGGUUCGUUUACCUAAUAAUAUAGGUUCUCUGUAUGUACUCAACACUUUUAGGGUAUUUAAAUGUGAAUAUUAUAUUUACUAUCAUAAUAACCAUUCUCAACUACCAUUUCUUCACUUAUCUAAUACCAAAAUAUAUAUCUUUUCAUAAAUGUCAAUAAAACAUUUUAUCAAUGUUAUUUAAA